ensembl:lncRNA
GGCGUGGCCAAGGUUGAGUAACCUGCAUCGUGCACCUGGGAAGUGUUUGCAGGGACGAUAAAGAACCUCUUGGGCCCAUAAGCACAUUCAUGGACUCAUGGAGACAUCUUUUGCCAGGCCAAAAUUGGACCCGAACUGUCCCUUUCCUCGCGGCUGUGUGGCAACAGGUGCGGGCCAGUGUCUCCUCUGAUGGAUAUAAUAGCUGCUCUCUGGCCAGGAUUCUCAGAGGCAGCAUAAUCCGGCCCUAAUCUCCCUGUAAUUCAGGGAGGAUUGGGUUCUUCAGAUGAGCAAGUGGAAACCUUUGCUGGUGUGUGAGAGUUGAAUACGUCUAUAUUGGCCCCACAUGAAAACCAGGCACAGGUUUGGGUUUUUUUGAUCCGUAUCUUUCUCUUCUUUCUUUUUUUUUUUUUUUUUAAAUCUGUUUUGGUCGACAUCCAAAA